CCUACGGGGGGCAGCAGUGGGGAAUAUUGCACAAUGGGGGAAACCCUGAUGCAGCGACGCCGCGUGAGUGAAGAAGUAAUUCGUUAUGUAAAGCUCUAUCAGCAGGGAAGAAAAUGACGGUACCUGAGUAAGAAGCCCCGGCUAACUACGUGCCAGCAGGCGCGGUAAUACGUAGGGGGCAAGCGUUAUCCGGAUUUACUGGGUGGAAAGGGAGCGUAGACGGCAGUGCAAGUCUGGAGUGAAAGGCGGGGGCUCAACCCCCGGACUGCUCUGGAAACUGUACGGCUGGAGUGCAGGAGAGGUAAGUGGAAUUCCUAGUGUAGCGGUGAAAUGCGUAGAUAUUAGGAGGAACACCAGGGGCGAAGGCGGCUUACUGGACUGUAACUGACGUUGAGGCUCGAAAGCGUGGGGAGCAAACAGGAUUAGAUACCCGAGUAGUC
rnacentral:rRNA from 1 species